rnacentral:rRNA from 1 species
CGUGCAAAGGUAGCGUAAUACUUGUCCUCUAAAUAGGGACCAGCAUGAAUGGCAACAUGAGAAAACCCCUGUCUCUUCAAGCUAGUCAGUGAAACUGACUGCCUGUUAAAAAGCAGGCAUACAAAAAUAAGACAAAAAGACCCUGUGAAACUUCAAAUGCCCUUCAACCGUAUGCAGGGUAUUUUUCGGUUGGGGCAACCAAUGAGAAACAAACCUCAUAAAAUCAUAAGGCCCACAAGCCAAACAACACCUACGAUCCAGUACCACUGAUCAAAGAACAAAGCUACUCCAGGGAUAACAGCGCCACAUUCUUAAAGGUCCAUAUCAACAAGAAUACCUACGACCUCGAUGUUGGAUCAGGGUACCCAAAUGGCGCAGAAGCUAUUAAAGGUUCGUUGUUCAACGAUUAAAACCCUACGUGAUCUGAGUUCAGAC